rnacentral:rRNA from 1 species
GGUCAAGUGAAGAAGCGCAUACGGUGGAUGCCUUGGCAGUCAGAGGCGAUGAAAGACGUGGUAGCCUGCGAAAAGCUUCGGGGAGUCGGCAAACAGACUUUGAUCCGGAGAUGUCUGAAUGGGGGAACCCAGCCAUCAUAAGAUGGUUAUCUUGUACUGAAUACAUAGGUGCAAGAGGCGAACCAGGGGAACUGAAACAUCUAAGUACCCUGAGGAAAAGAAAUCAACCGAGAUUCCCUUAGUAGUGGCGAGCGAACGGGGACUAGCCCUUAAGUGGCUUUGAGAUUAGCGGAACGCUCUGGAAAGUGCGGCCAUAGUGGGUGAUAGCCCUGUACGCGAAAAUCUCUUAGUCAUGAAAUCGAGUAGGACGGAGCACGAGAAACUUUGUCUGAAUAUGGGGGGACCAUCCUCCAAGGCUAAAUACUACUGACUGACCGAUAGUGAACUAGUACCGUGAGGGAAAGGCGAAAAGAACCCCGGAGAGGGGAGUGAAAUAGAUCCUGAAACCGUAUGCGUACAAGCAGUGGGAGCCCACUUUGUUGGGUGACUGCGUACCUUUUGUAUAAUGGGUCAGCGACUUAUUUUCAGUGGCGAGCUUAACCGAAUAGGGGAGGCGUAGCGAAAGCGAGUCUUAAUAGGGCGUCUAGUCGCUGGGAAUAGACCCGAAACCGGGCGAUCUAUCCAUGGGCAGGUUGAAGGUUGGGUAACACUAACUGGAGGACCGAACCGACUACCGUUGAAAAGUUAGCGGAUGACCUGUGGAUCGGAGUGAAAGGCUAAUCAAGCUCGGAGAUAGCUGGUUCUCCUCGAAAGCUAUUUAGGUAGCGCCUCAUGUAUCACUGUAGGGGGUAGAGCACUGUUUCGGCUAGGGGGUCAUCCCGACUUACCAAACCGAUGCAAACUCCGAAUACCUACAAGUGCCGAGCAUGGGAGACACACGGCGGGUGCUAACGUCCGUCGUGAAAAGGGAAACAACCCAGACCGUCAGCUAAGGUCCCAAAGUUAUGGUUAAGUGGGAAACGAUGUGGGAAGGCUUAGACAGCUAGGAGGUUGGCUUAGAAGCAGCCACCCUUUAAAGAAAGCGUAAUAGCUCACUAGUCGAGUCGGCCUGCGCGGAAGAUGUAACGGGGCUCAAACCAUACACCGAAGCUACGGGUAUCACUUAGGUGAUGCGGUAGAGGAGCGUUCUGUAAGCCUGUGAAGGUGAGUUGAGAAGCUUGCUGGAGGUAUCAGAAGUGCGAAUGCUGACAUGAGUAACGACAAUGGGUGUGAAAAACACCCACGCCGAAAGACCAAGGUUUCCUGCGCAACGUUAAUCGACGCAGGGUUAGUCGGUCCCUAAGGCGAGGCUGAAAAGCGUAGUCGAUGGAAAACAGGUUAAUAUUCCUGUACUUCUGGUUAUUGCGAUGGAGGGACGGAGAAGGCUAGGCCAGCUUGGCGUUGGUUGUCCAAGUUUAAGGUGGUAGGCUGAGAUCUUAGGUAAAUCCGGGAUCUUAAGGCCGAGAGCUGAUGACGAGUUACCCUUUGGGUGACGAAGUGGUUGAUGCCAUGCUUCCAAGAAAAGCUUCUAAGCUUCAGGUAACCAGGAACCGUACCCCAAACCGACACAGGUGGUUGGGUAGAGAAUACCAAGGCGCUUGAGAGAACUCGGGUGAAGGAACUAGGCAAAAUGGCACCGUAACUUCGGGAGAAGGUGCGCCGGUGAGGGUGAAGCACUUGCUGCGUAAGCCCACGCCGGUCGAAGAUACCAGGCCGCUGCGACUGUUUAUUAAAAACACAGCACUCUGCAAACACGAAAGUGGACGUAUAGGGUGUGACGCCUGCCCGGUGCCGGAAGGUUAAUUGAUGGGGUUAGCUAACGCGAAGCUCUUGAUCGAAGCCCCGGUAAACGGCGGCCGUAACUAUAACGGUCCUAAGGUAGCGAAAUUCCUUGUCGGGUAAGUUCCGACCUGCACGAAUGGCGUAACGAUGGCGGCGCUGUCUCCACCCGAGACUCAGUGAAAUUGAAAUCGCUGUGAAGAUGCAGUGUAUCCGCGGCUAGACGGAAGACCCCCCGUGAACCUUUACUAUAGCUUUGCACUGGACUUUGAAUUUGCUUGUGUAGGAUAGGUGGGAGGCUUUGAAGCGUGGACGCCAGUUCGCGUGGAGCCAUCCUUGAAAUACCACCCUGGCAACUUUGAGGUUCUAACUCAGGUCCGUUAUCCGGAUCGAGGACAGUGUAUGGUGGGUAGUUUGACUGGGGCGGUCUCCUCCUAAAGAGUAACGGAGGAGUACGAAGGUGCGCUCAGACCGGUCGGAAAUCGGUCGUAGAGUAUAAAGGCAAAAGCGCGCUUGACUGCGAGACAGACACGUCGAGCAGGUACGAAAGUAGGUCUUAGUGAUCCGGUGGUUCUGUAUGGAAGGGCCAUCGCUCAACGGAUAAAAGGUACUCCGGGGAUAACAGGCUGAUACCGCCCAAGAGUUCAUAUCGACGGCGGUGUUUGGCACCUCGAUGUCGGCUCAUCACAUCCUGGGGCUGAAGCCGGUCCCAAGGGUAUGGCUGUUCGCCAUUUAAAGUGGUACGCGAGCUGGGUUUAGAACGUCGUGAGACAGUUCGGUCCCUAUCUGCCGUGGACGUUUGAGAUUUGAGAGGGGCUGCUCCUAGUACGAGAGGACCGGAGUGGACGAACCUCUGGUGUUCCGGUUGUCACGCCAGUGGCAUUGCCGGGUAGCUAUGUUCGGAAAAGAUAACCGCUGAAAGCAUCUAAGCGGGAAACUUGCCUCAAGAUGAGAUCUCACUGGGACCUUGAGUCCCCUGAAGGGCCGUCGAAGACUACGACGUUGAUAGGUGGGGUGUGUAAGCGCUGUGAGGCGUUGAGCUAACCCAUACUAAUUGCCCGUGAGGCUUGACCAU